CGCGGCCUAUCAGCUUGUUGGUGGGGUAAUGGCCUACCAAGGCGACGACGGGUAGCCGGCCUGAGAGGGCGACCGGCCACACUGGGACUGAGACACGGCCCAGACUCCUACGGGAGGCAGCAGUGGGGAAUAUUGCACAAUGGGCGAAAGCCUGAUGCAGCGACGCCGCGUGGGGGAUGACGGCCUUCGGGUUGUAAACCUCUUUCAGUAGGGACGAAGCGUAAGUGACGGUACCUACAGAAGAAGCACCGGCCAACUACGUGCCAGCAGCCGCGGUAAUACGUAGGGUGCAAGCGUUGUCCGGAAUUAUUGGGCGUAAAGAGCUCGUAGGCGGUUUGUCGCGUCGGCUGUGAAAACCUGGGGCUCAACCCCGGACCUGCAGCCGAUACGGGCAAACUUGAGUUCGGCAGGGGAGACUGGAAUUCCUGGUGUAGCGGUGAAAUGCGCAGAUAUCAGGAGGAACACCGGUGGCGAAGGCGGGUCUCUGGGCCGAUACUGACGCUGAGGAGCGAAAGCGUGGGGAGCGAACAGGAUUAGAUACCCUGGUAGUCCACGCCGUAAACGUUGGGCGCUAGGUGUGGGCCUCAUUCCACGAGGUCUGUGCCGCAGCUAACGCAUUAAGCGCCCCGCC
rnacentral:rRNA from 1 species